UUGGCAAACGCUAUAUAUUUUAUAUAGAGGAAAGUCCAUGCUCACAAAGUCUGCGACGACUUUAGUGUUUGUGCUAGGGGAAAAAAUAACCCUAGGUAGAAUAUAAUUCUAACGGCUACGAAAUAACCUAAGUCGUAAGAUAUUGGUUAAAUUAGUUAUAAAAGUGCUAUAGUGAUGAAGAAUCUGGAAACGGAGGAAGUGGAACAUAGUAAACCCCACAAGUGAGAAACCCAAAUUAUGGUAGGGGAGCUCUAAUAGAGGAAUCAAACGAAAUUAGGGAUCAUUUUGAUAGAUAAAUGUUUGCCACCUUAUUAAGGUACAGAACAUGGCUUAUAA
rnacentral:RNase_P_RNA from 1 species